GCGUGCUUAACACAUGCAAGUCGAGCGGGUACUCGCAAGAGUACCAGCGGCGCACGGGUGAGUAAUACGUAGGUAACCUACCCUUCAGAGGGGAAUAACUGGGGGAAACUCCAGCUAAUGCCCCAUACAAUCCAACGACGAUGGUUGUUGGAUGAAAGGAGCGUUUGCUUCGCUGAAGGAGGGGCCUGCGUCCCAUCAGGUAGUUGGUGAGGUAACGGCUCACCAAGCCUAUGACGGGUAGCCGACCUGAGAGGGUGGCCGGCCACAAGGGCACUGAGACACGGGCCCUACUCCUACGGGAGGCAGCAGUGGGGAAUUUUGGACAAUGGGCGAAAGCCUGAUCCAGCAACGCCGCGUGGGGGACGAAGCCCUUCGGGGUGUAAACCCCUGUGGCGAGGGACGAAUAAGACUUGGAGGAAAUGCCAAGUCGAUGACGGUACCUCGCGAGAAAGCCCCGGCUAACUACGAGCCGCGGUAAUACGUAGGGGGCGAGCGUUACCCGGAUUCACUGGGCGUAAAGGGGGCGUAGGCGACUUGGUGUGUCGCGUGUGAAAUCCCAUGGCUCAACCAUGGAAUUGCGCGCGAAACUACUGAGUUUGGGGCCGGUAGAGGGAGAUGGAACUGCUGGUGUAGGGGUGAAAUCCGUAGAUAUCAGCAGGAACGCCGGUGGGGAAGCCGGUCUCCUGGGCCGUGCCCGACGCUGAGGCCCGAAAGCUAGGGGAGCAAACCGGAUUAGAUACCCGGGUAGUCCUAGCCGUAAACGAUGCUCACUAGGUGUGGGGGAGUCAUUCCUCCGUGCUGCAGUUAACGCGUUAAGUGAGCCGCCUGGGGAGUACGCCCGCAAGGGUGAAACUCAAAGGAAUUGGCGGGACCCCGCACAAGCGGUGGAGCGUGUGGUUUAAUUGGAUGCUAAGCCAAGAACCUUACCAGGGCUUGACAUGCAGGUGGUACCGACCCGACAGGGGAGGGACCCUUUCCUUUGGAAAGGGAGCUUGCACAGGUGGUGCACGGCCGCGUGCCGUGAGGUGUUGGGUUAAGUCCCGCAACGAGCGCAACCCCUGCCCUUAGUUGCCAGCGGUUCGGCCGGGCACUCUAAGGGGACCGCCGGCGACGAGCCGGAGGAAGGAGGGGACGACGUCAGGUACUCGUGCCCUUUAUGCCCUGGGCUACACACGCGCUACAAUGGGUGGUACAAUGGGUUGCUACUCCGCGAGGAGGAGCUAAUCCCAAAAACCAUCCCCAGUUCAGAUCGCAGGCUGCAACCCGCCUGCGUGAAGCCGGAAUCGCUAGUAAUCGCGGAUCAGCCACGCCGCGGUGAAUACGUUCCCGGGGUUUGCACACACCGCCCGUCAAGCCACCCGAGUCGGGGGCACCUGAAGACGCUUAUCCUAACCCGAAAGGGAGGGAAGGUCGUUGAAGGU
rnacentral:rRNA from 1 species